rnacentral:rRNA from 1 species
ACGCUCUGUUUGUGCAUCCACUCAACACCUGUGCACCUUCUGUAGUUCUGUGGCCUGGGGGACUCGUCCUCCUGCUGCGGUUCUGCGUCUUUACACUCACGCUGUGACAAAGUCUGAUGGAAUGCAUGUCGCGUUUAAUGCAAUACAAUACAACUUUCAGCAACGGAUCUCUUGGCUCUCGCAUCGAUGAAGAACGCAGCAAAAUGCGAUAAGUAAUGUGAAUUGCAGAAUUCAGUGAAUCAUCGAAUCUUUGAACGCACCUUGCGCCCUUUGGCUAUUCCGAAGGGCAUGCCUGUUUGAGUAUCAUGAACAUCUCAACUCCUCACGGUUCGCCCGUGAUGAGCUUGGACUUUGGGGGUCUUGCCGGCCUGCAGGUCGGCUCCUCUCAAAUGAAUCAGCUUGCCGGUGUUUGGCGGCGUCACAGGUGUGAUAACUAUCUACGCUUGUGGUUUUCCGCCAGGUAACCUCCAGCGAUGGGGGUUCGCUGGAGCUCACAAAUGUCUCUCCUCGGCGAGGACAGGUCUUUGAACGUUUGAUCUCAAAUCAGGUAGGACUACCCGC